rnacentral:rRNA from 1 species
UACGGGGGGAGCAAGCGUUGUUCGGAAUCACUGGGCGUAAAGGGAGUCUAGGCGGUUUGGUAAGUGGGAUGUGAAAUCCCUCGGCUCACCCGAGGACCUGCAUCCCAUACUGCUGAGCUUGAGUACAGGAGAGGGUGGGGGAAUUCCUGGUGUAGCGGUGAAAUGCGUAGAUAUCAGGAGGAACACCGGUGGCGAAGGCGGUUCUCUGGGCCUGUACUGACGCUGAGGAGCGAAAGCGUGGGGAGCGAACAGG